AUGGCUGAGCUCCCAUCGAACGUGCACCUCACCUCGCACCCCAUCCGCCUGAUGAUCCGUGGGCCCUCUGUGUAUGAGGACGAGAAGAAGCGCACAUGGCUGCAUCUCAUCAUGGAGACUGGAGGUGUCCUCCAAGUACGGUUGCGCCAGGAGGACAUCCCCAGUGGGCAUAUCACACUCACCACCAGCCCACUGACCUCGAGAACCAUGCCUUUUAUUUGGACGCUCUCCCCUGGCGACCAGUACCUGGACUUCAUGUGCCGGUUAUGGCGCAUCGUGCACCACAUCAAGGAGGAUGGAGUGGAGGAAAUGAUCCUUGAGCAGAUAGACAACUCGUAG